UGGGGAAUCUUCCGCAAUGGGCGCAAGCCUGACGGAGCAACGCCGCGUGAGUGAAGAAGGGUUUCGACUCGUAAAGCUCUGUUGUCGGGGACGAAUGUGGAGAUGGUGAAUAAUCAUUUUCAAUGACGGUACCUGACGAGGAAGCCACGGCUAACUACGUGCCAGCAGCCGCGGUAAUACGUAGGUGGCGAGCGUUGUCCGGAAUUAUUGGGCGUAAAGGGAGCGCAGGCGGGAAGGUAAGUCUAUCUUAAAAGUGCGGGGCUCAACCCCGUGAGGGGAUGGAAACUAUCUUUCUUGAGUGCAGGAGAGGAAAGCGGAAUUCCUAGUGUAGCGGUGAAAUGCGUAGAUAUUAGGAGGAAC
rnacentral:rRNA from 1 species